rnacentral:rRNA from 1 species
AUGCAUGUCUAAGUAUAAGCAACUAUACGGUGAAACUGCGAAUGGCUCAUUAAAUCAGUUAUCGUUUAUUUGAUAGUACCUUACUACUUGGAUAACCGUGGUAAUUCUAGAGCUAAUACAUGCUAAAAACCUCGACUUCGGAAGGGGUGUAUUUAUUAGAUAAAAAACCAAUGCCUCCGGGCUCCUUGGUGAUUCAUAAUAACUAAACGAAUCGCAUGGCCUUGCGCCGGCGAUGGUUCAUUCAAAUUUCUGCCCUAUCAACUUUCGAUGGUAGGAUAGUGGCCUACCAUGGUAUCAACGGGUAACGGGGAAUUAGGGUUCUAUUCCGGAGAGGGAGCCUGAGAAACGGCUACCACAUCCAAGGAAGGCAGCAGGCGCGCAAAUUACCCAAUCCCGACACGGGGAGGUAGUGACAAUAAAUACUGAUACAGGGCUCUUUUGGGUCUUGUAAUUGGAAUGAGUACAAUUUAAAUCCCUUAACGAGGAACAAUUGGAGGGCAAGUCUGGUGCCAGCAGCCGCGGUAAUUCCAGCUCCAAUAGCGUAUAUUAAAGUUGUUGCAGUUAAAAAGCUCGUAGUUGAACUUGGGCCUGGCUGGCCGGUCCGCCUCACCGCGUGUACUGGUCCGGCCGGGCCUUUCCUUCUGGGGAGCCGCAUGCCCUUCACUGGGCGUGUUGGGGAACCAGGACUUUUACUUUGAAAAAAUUAGAGUGUUCAAAGCAGGCCUUUGCUCGAAUACAUUAGCAUGGAAUAAUAGAAUAGGACGUGCGGUUCUAUUUUGUUGGUUUCUAGGACCGCCGUAAUGAUUAAUAGGGAUAGUCGGGGGCAUCAGUAUUCAAUUGUCAGAGGUGAAAUUCUUGGAUUUAUUGAAGACUAACUACUGCGAAAGCAUUUGCCAAGGAUGUUUUCAUUAAUCAGUGAACGAAAGUUAGGGGAUCGAAGACGAUCAGAUACCGUCGUAGUCUUAACCAUAAACUAUGCCGACUAGGGAUCGGGCGAUGUUAUCAUUUUGACUCGCUCGGCACCUUACGAGAAAUCAAAGUCUUUGGGUUCUGGGGGGAGUAUGGUCGCAAGGC